UACGCAGGGUGCGAGCGUUGUCCGGAAUUACUGGGCGUAAAGAGCUCGUAGGUGGUUUGUCGCGUUGUCCGUGAAAACUCACAACUCAAUUGUGGGCGUGCGGGCGAUACGGGCAGACUGGAGUACUGCAGGGGAGACUGGAAUUCCUGGUGUAGCGGUGGAACGCGCAGAUAUCAGGAGGAACACCGGUGGCGAAGGCGGGUCUCUGGGCAGUAACUGACGCUGAGGAGCGAAAGCGUGGGGAGCGAACAGG
rnacentral:rRNA from 1 species